UACGUAGGGUGCAAGCGUUGUCCGGAAUUAUUGGGCGUAAAGGGCUCGUAGGCGGUCCAUCGCGUCGGGUGUGAAAAGCUGGGGCUUAACCCCAGUCCUGCUUCCGAUACGGGUGGACUAGAGGUAGGCAGGGGAGAACGGAAUUCCUGGUGUAGCGGUGAAAUGCGCAGAUAUCAGGAGGAACACCGGUGGCGAAGGCGGUUCUCUGGGCCUGACCUGACGCUGAGGAGCGAAAGCAUGGGGAGCAAACAGG
rnacentral:rRNA from 1 species